GCGCUCAUAGCUCAAUGGCAGAGCAAGGCUAUGUUUAUAGACCAUGAGAUACAGGUUCGAUUCCUGUUGGGCGCC
rnacentral:tRNA from 1 species